UACGUAGGUGGCAAGCGUUGUCCGGAAUUAUUGGGCGUAAAGCGCGCGCAGGCGGCCCUUUAAGUCUGAUGUGAAAGCCCACGGCUCAACCGUGGAGGGUCAUUGGAAACUGGAGGACUUGAGUACAGAAGAGGAAAGCGGAAUUCCACGUGUAGCGGUGAAAUGCGUAGAGAUGUGGAGGAACACCAGUGGCGAAGGCGGCUUUCUGGUCUGUAACUGACGCUGAGGAGCGAAAGCGUGGGGAGCGAACAGG
rnacentral:rRNA from 1 species